AGCAGAGGAUAUGGGGGAAGGGUCUGCACCUGGCAAGGCCCCACAAAGUCCUGCUCAGUUAGAGUUAGGAGUACAAGAGGUUUAGUGAGGGGGUGAUGUCUGUGAGAAAUAAAAGGGAGAAGAAGCAGGCUUGGGCUGGGAAAGCCCCAGACUGCUAAAGAGAUUUGACCUUAUCAGUUAACCCAGUUAGAAGUUCUAAAGUAACUGCUACCCUCAGAGCAGUCCCAUCUUAGCAGAAAUGACUAUGUCCCCAUCUCCGUGCCCUGCUGAGUCACUGGCUGGGAGUCUCUAGGAAUGAACCUGGCCAAGAUGCAAAAGCCUAGGUGAAGCCUGGGGGUGCCAACAGUGGUAAGGCGUCAGCUCAGCACAAUCCUUGUAGCUGUCGCUCUAGCAGCUGCAGCUUCUCAGUAGAAUCAGGAGAGGGCGCCCACGGACCUGUCUUUGCCUCGCUCCUAGCAAAGCCUCGCGACCGGGUUAAAGUCAAUCCCGAAGGACUUCAGAAUGUGGCCGUAUUUGGAGGAUUCUUCACCACUGAGUCAUCUGGGAAGCCUGACAAAAACAGAUCAGCCAAUACACUGAUGUCUUGGAGGAUUCACCAGAUUUCUUCUGUACAUGGGGACAGCUCCUAUGGUGGAAAAUGGCAAUUUACAUGGGAUAAGACUUCUACCUGACCUUACCUGUGUGUCCUCUGCAAGCUUAUCCAGCUGAAUAAAGAACUAUAGAUUCUGCAGAUAUAAAUGUGAAGAACAUGGAACUUCAUUGACUCAACUGUGAUGUGUAAGACUCUGCCACAUACCUUGCUCUAAUGAAACUCCUACAUUGUAUUGAGUUGUACUCAAUAUAGUGAUAUUUUCAAAGAGGUGCUUAUUAA
ensembl:lncRNA